AUGGACGCGGAGGGGGAUAGGGGAGGGGGUGUGGGGGUAGGGGUGGGGGUGUGGGGGUGUGGGGUGGGGUGGGGAGGGGGGGGGGGGGGGGGGGGGGGCAAAAAAGCUGUAGGUAUAUUACUACUCACAGAUGUAAGUGAUCACUUGCCUGUCUUUUCAGUGCUUGAAAUGAACAAUCAACUUCAUUUUCAAGAGGAAAAGCAGAUUGAUUACAGUGGUAGAAUAAAAACACCAGAACAGAUUGCAGCUUUUAAAACAGACUUAGAAAAUUAUGACUGGCAAAGAGUUUAUGUGGAAGACACUAAUGAUGCAUAUAAUGCAUUUUUAGAUAUAUUUUUGUCAAUCUAUGAUAGCCAUUGUCCCAUUAAAAAGUUUUCUGAAAAGUAUAAAAAGAAAAAACCAUGGUUUUCACAAGGUCUGGAAAGAGCCUGUAAAAGGAAAAAUAGGUUAUACAGGAUUUUUUUGACACAUAGAACAAAGGAAAAUGAAGAUAAAUAUAAGAAAUAUCGAAACAAAUUAACAUCUAUUAUGCGAUAUGAAAAGAAAAGAUAUUAUGAACAGCUGCUUCAAAAACAUAAAAAUAAUAUUAAGGCUACCUGGAGUGCAUUAAAUAGGAUAAUAAAAAAUCAACAUAAUAUAUGUUCUCCAACACGUAUUGUAAAAAGAGGUAAUGUAGUGAUUGAGAAUAUUGAGAGCAUAGUUAAUGAAUUUAAUGAUUACUUUGUUAAUGUAGGUCCCAACUUAGCAAAAGAGAUUUCUGUACCAGGAGGAAAUGAUGAUAAAGUAGAUUCUACUUCUUGUAAAUGUAACUCAGUGUUUCUUGGUGGAGUCUGUGAGAGUGACAUUGUAGAAGUGGUGAGCAAAUUCAAGAGUAAAAAAUCCAUGGACUGUGACGACCUUGACAUGUCGCUAAUUAAAGAAGUUCUUCAUAGUGUCCUUCAGCCGUUAACAUAUAUUUGUAACAAAUCAUUUCAAACUGGAAUUUUUCCAGAUAAAAUGAAAAUUGCCAAAGUGAUACCAUUAUAUAAAAUUGGUGAUAAACAGAUUGUGUCAAAUUAUAGACCGGUAUCUUUACUGCCUCAAUUUUCGAAGAUUUUUGAGAAACUAUUUGCAAACAAACUAGAUUCUUUUAUUGAUAAAUAUGAUUUAUUGAAUGAUCAUCAGUAUUGGUUCAGAAGAAAUCGUUCGACAUCUCUAGCUGUAAUGGAAUUUAUUGAAAAUAUUGCAACGGCUGUGGAUGAAAAACAGUUUGGAACAGGUGUGUUCACUGAUUUACGUAAAGCCUUCGAUACGAUAGAUCAUUCUUUACUUUUACAGAAAUGUGAAAGGUAUGGUUUAAGAGGUGUUGUACAAUCUUGGUUAAAUAGUUAUUUGAAUAAUAGGUUCCAAUAUGUGAGUAUUAAUAACAUGAAAUCUAAACUUAGAAAAGAAACUUGUGGAGUUCCGCAAGGAUCUAUAAGAUAA
rnacentral:lncRNA from 1 species